rnacentral:rRNA from 1 species
UACGUAGGGGGCGAGCGUUGUCCGGAUUUAUUGGGCGUAAAGAGCUCGUAGGCGGUUUGGCAAGUCGGGUGUGAAAACUCCGGGCUCAACUCGGAGACGCCACUCGAUACUGCCAUGACUUGAGUCCGGUAGGGGAGUGCGGAAUUCCUGGUGUAGCGGUGAAAUGCGCAGAUAUCAGGAGGAACACCGAUGGCGAAGGCAGAUCUCUGGGCCGUAACUGACGCUGAGGAGCGAAAGCAUGGGGAGCGAACAGG